GAUUUUCGCAAUGCCCGAAAGGGUGAUGCAGCAACGCCGCGUGAGGGAUGAAGGCUUUCGGGUCGUAAACCUCUUUCGAUCGGGAAAAAUGGUCCGCUGAAGAGGCGGGCCUGAUGGUACCGGAUGAAGAAGCCCCGGCUAACUACGUGCCAGCAGCCGCGGUAAUACGUAGGGGGCGAGCGUUGUUCGGAAUUACUGGGCGUAAAGGGCGUGUAGGCGGUGCGGUAAGUCGGGCGUGAAAUCUCCAGGCUCAACUUGGAGGGGCCGUUCGAGACUGCCGCGCUAGAGUGCGGGAGGGGGAAGUGGAAUUCCCGGUGUAGCGGUGAAAUGCGUAGAUAUCUGGAGGAACGCCGGUGGCGAAAGCGACUCUCUGGUCUGUAACUGACGCUGAGGUGCGAAAGCUAGGGGAGCAAACGGGAUUAGAUACCCCGGUAGUCCUAGCCCUAAACGAUGGGCACUAAGUAGAGGGGUUUUAAUC
rnacentral:rRNA from 1 species